UGUAAGGGAUAAGAUUGAGCAAGUCACAUUUCUUCAUUUCCAUUUCUUCAUUUCGUCUUCACCCUCAUUUCCGUAAGAGAGAGAGAGAGAGAGAGAGAGAGAGAGAGGGAGGGAGAGAGAAGCAAUUUUCGAGCUUGGAUCGCGAUUGGUUCGGGUUUUAAGGUGAAUUUGGGGAAAGAUCCAAGA